ACAUCGGUAGCACAGUGGUUGCCGGACAUAGAAAGACGCGGGUUCAAUUCCCGUCCGAUGUC
rnacentral:tRNA from 1 species